UACGUAGGUAGCAAGCGUUGUUCGGAAUUACUGGGCGUAAAGAGUGUGUAGGCGGUGCUCUAAGUUUGGUGUGAAAUCUCCCGGCUCAACUGGGAGGGUGCGCCGAAAACUGGAAUGCUUGAACAUGGGAGAGGAAAGCGGAAUUCCUGGUGUAGCGGUGAAAUGCGUAGAUAUCAGGAGGAACACCUGCGGUGUAGACGGCUUUCUGGACCAUUGUUGACGCUGAGACACGAAAGCGUGGGUAGCAAACAGG
rnacentral:rRNA from 1 species